GGGUUUAAUCCCGUCCUUAUCAA
rnacentral:tRNA from 1 species